rnacentral:rRNA from 1 species
GAUGAACGCUGGCGGCGUGCCUAAUACAUGCAAGUCGAGCGAAUGGAUUGAGAGCUUGCUCUUAUGAAGUUAGCGGCGGACGGGUGAGUAACACGUGGGUAACCUGCCCAUAAGACUGGGAUAACUCCGGGAAACCGGGGCUAAUACCGGAUAACAUUUUGAACCGCAUGGUUCGAAAUUGAAAGGCGGCUUCGGCUGUCACUUAUGGAUGGACCCGCGUCGCAUUAGCUAGUUGGUGAGGUAACGGCUCACCAAGGCAACGAUGCGUAGCCUACCUGAGAGGGUGAUCGGCCACACUGGGACUGAGACACGGCCCAGACUCCUACGGGAGGCAGCAGUAGGGAAUCUUCCGCAAUGGACGAAAGUCUGACGGAGCAACGCCGCGUGAGUGAGGAAGGCUUUCGGGUCGUAAAACUCUGUUGUUAGGGAAGAACAAGUGCUAGUUGAAUAAGCUGGCACCUUGACGGUACCUAACCAGAAAGCCACGGCUAACUACGUGCCAGCCGCCGCGGUAA